rnacentral:tRNA from 1 species
AAGACCCUAGUAAAUUAUUAUAUAGCCCUGUCAGAGCUAAGUUACAGGCUAACCCCCUGUGAGUCUUA